rnacentral:rRNA from 1 species
UACGUAGGGGGCAAGCGUUAUCCGGAUUUACUGGGUGUAAAGGGAGCGUAGACGGCAUAGCAAGUCUGAAGUGAAAGCCCGUGGCUCAACCGCGGAACUGCUUUGGAAACUGUUAAGCUGGAGUACUGGAGAGGCAAGCGGAAUUCCUAGUGUGGCGGUGAAAUGCGUAGAUAUUAGGAGGAACACCAGUGGCGAAGGCGGCUUGCUGGACAGAGACUGACGUUGAGGCUCGAAAGCGUGGGGAGCAAACAGG